rnacentral:rRNA from 1 species
CCUACGGGAGGCAGCAGUGGGGAAUCUUGCACAAUGGGGGAAACCCUGAUGCAGCGACGCCGCGUGAGCGAUGAAGCCCUUCGGGGCGUAAAGCUCUUUCGGCAGGGACGAAACAUGACGGUACCUGCAGAAGCAGCUGCGGCUAACUACGUGCCAGCAGCCGCGGUAAUACGUAGGCAGCAAGCGUUGUUCGGAGUUACUGGGCGUAAAGGGUGCGUAGGCGGUCCCCUAAGUUCGGUGUGAAAUCUCCCGGCUCAACUGGGAGGGUGCGCCGGAAACUGAGGGACUAGAGUGCGGGAGGGGAGAGCGGAAUUCCUGGUGUAGCGGUGAAAUGCGUAGAUAUCAGGAGGAACACCGGUGGUGCAGACGGCUCUCUGGACCGUAACUGACGCUGAGGCACGAAAGCGUGGGUAGCAAACAGGAUUAGAUACCCUGGUAGUCCACGCCCUAAACGAUGCAUGCUUGGUGCUGGUGAUUCAGUUCAUCGGUGCCGGAGCUAACGCGUUAAGCAUGCCGCCUGGGGAGUACAGUCGCAAGGCUGAAACUCAAAGGAAUUGACGG